AGAACUCUAAUGAGACUGCCUACGCAAGUAGGAGGAAGGUGAGGACGACGUCAAGUCAUCAUGGCCCUUACGUCCAGGGCUACACACGUGCUACAAUGGGGUAUACAAAGAGCAGCAAUACGGUGACGUGGAGCAAAUCUCAAAAAUAUCUCCCAGUUCGGAUUGUAGUCUGCAACUCGACUACAUGAAGUUGGAAUCGCUAGUAAUCGUAGAUCAGCUAUGCUACGGUGAAUACGUUCCCGGGUCUUGUACUCACCGCCCGUCACACCAUGGGAGCGGGUUCUGCCAGAAGUAGGUAGCCUAACCGUAAGGAGGGCGCUUACCGCGGCAGGGUUCGUGACUGGGG
rnacentral:rRNA from 1 species